rnacentral:rRNA from 1 species
UACGUAGGGUGCGAGCGUUUGUCCGGAAUUACUGGGCGUAAAGGGCUCGUAGGCGGCCAACUAAGUCAGACGUGAAAUCCCUCGGCUUAACCGGGGAACUGCGUCUGAUACUGGAUGGCUUGAGAUUGGGAGAGGGAUGCGGAAUUCCAGGUGUAGCGGUGAAAUGCGUAGAUAUCAGGAGGAACACCAAUGGCGAAGGCAGCUCGCUGGGACGGUACUGACGCUGAGGCGCGAAAGCGUGGGGAGCAAACAGG